rnacentral:rRNA from 1 species
AGUCGAGCGGGGUCCAUCCAGUGGUAACACUGGUGAAGACCUAGCGGCGAACGGGUGAGUAACACGUGAGAAACCUGCCCCGAAGACCGGGAUAACCCUCCGAAAGGAGAGCUAAUACCGGAUGCCCUCACCGGGCCGCAUGACCUGGUGAGGAAAUGGAUUCCGCUUCGGGAGGGUCUCGCGGCCUAUCAGCUUGUUGGUGAGGUAACGGCUCACCAAGGCUUCGACGGGUAGCUGGUCUGAGAGGAUGAUCAGCCACACUGGGACUGAGACACGGCCCAGACUCCUACGGGAGGCAGCAGUGGGGAAUCUUGCGCAAUGGGCGAAAGCCUGACGCAGCAACGCCGCGUGGGGGAUGAAGGCUCUCGGGUUGUAAACCCCUUUCAGCAGGGAAGAUUAUGACGGUACCUGCAGAAGAAGCCCCGGCCAACUACGUGCCAGCAGCCGCGGUAAUACGUAGGGGGCAAGCGUUGUCCGGAUUUAUUGGGCGUAAAGAGCUUGUAGGCGGCUUGGUAAGUCGAGUGUGAAAACUCCAGGCUCAACCUGGAGACGCCAUUCGAUACUGCCAUGGCUAGAGUCCGGUAGAGGAGCACGGAAUUCCUGGUGUAGCGGUGAAAUGCGCAGAUAUCAGGAGGAACACCAGCAGCGAAGGCGGUGCUCUGGGCCGGUACUGACGCUGAGAAGCGAAAGCGUGGGGAGCGAACAGGAUUAGAUACCCUGGUAGUCCACGCCGUAAACGUUGGGCACUAGGUGUGGGUCCCUAUCGACGGGACCUGUGCCGUAGCUAACGCAUUAAGUGCCCCGCCU